rnacentral:rRNA from 1 species
UACAGAGGGUGCAAGCGUUGCUCGGAUUUACUGGGCGUAAAGCGUACGCAGACGGUGAGAAAGGUCGGAUGUGAAAGCCCCGGGCUCAACCCGGGAACUGCAUCCGAAACCAUCUCGCUAGAGUAUGGGAGAGGGAAGCAGAAUUCCUGGUGUAGAGGUGAAAUUCGUAGAUAUCAGGAGGAACACCGAUGGCGAAGGCAGGUCUCUGGGCAUUAACUGACGCUGAGGAGCGAAAGCAUGGGGGAGCGAACAGG